rnacentral:rRNA from 1 species
CCUACGGGGGGCAGCAGUGAGGAAUAUUGGUCAAUGGCCGAGAGGCUGAACCAGCCAAGUCGCGUGAGGGAUGACGGCCCUACGGGUUGUAAACCUCUUUUGUCGGGGAGCAAGACCCGCCUCGUGCAGGCGGAGCGAGAGUACCCGAAGAAAAAGCAUCGGCUAACUCCGUGCCAGCAGCCGCGGUAAUACGGAGGAUGCGAGCGUUAUCCGGAUUUAUUGGGUUUAAAGGGUGCGUAGGCGGUCCGUUAAGUCAGCGGUAAAAUUGCGGGGCUCAACCCCGUCGAGCCGUUGAAACUGGCAGA